UACGUAGGGUGCGAGCGUUAAUCGGAACUACUGGGCGUAAAGCGUGCGCAGGCGGUUUUGUAAGCCAGAUGUGAAAUCCCCGGGCUUAACCUGGGAAUGGCAUUUGGGACUGCAAGGCUCGAGUGCGGCAGAGGAGACUGGAAUUCCUGGUGUAGCAGUGAAAUGCGUAGAUAUCAGGAGGAACACCGAUGGCGAAGGCAGGUCUCUGGGCUGACACUGACGCUCAUGCACGAAAGCGUGGGGAGCAAACAGG
rnacentral:rRNA from 1 species